rnacentral:rRNA from 1 species
GAUGAACGCUGGCGGCGUGCCUAACACAUGCAAGUCGAGCGAACGGACGCGACGCUUGCUUUUUUGAUGUUAGCGGCGGACGGGUGAGUCACAUGUGUAUCACCUACUUAUAUGACUGGUAUCUUCUCGGGACUCCGGAGCUUACACCGGAUAAUCUUCUGCACCGUAUGGUUCAUAAGUGAAUUACGGCCUUUCUGUCACUUCUAGCUGGUUCUGGGCUGCAUUGGCUAGUUGGUACGGUAACGGCUUACCACGGCAACGAUGCAUAGCCGACCUGUGGGGGUGAUCGGCGACACUGGAACGGAGACACGGACAAGACUCCUACGGGAGGCAGCAGUAGGGUAUGGUCCGCAAUAGGCGGGAACCUGGCAGAGCGACGCGGAGUGAGAGGUGGAGGUCUUCGGAUCGUAAAACUCUGUUAUUAGGGAAAAACAGAUUUGUAAGUAGCUGAACACAUAGUGACGGUACCUAAUCAAAAAGCCACGGCUAACUACGUG